rnacentral:misc_RNA from 1 species
AAUUCUCAACCUUUCUAGUUUUCUAACUGGUCAGGCUUGGAUCUUGGAAGUUGCUGGCUCCAUUCGAAUCAGCUCUUCUUAAAUACAUUAGCGAAGACAUUUGCUGACCAUCUUUGGUAUGAUAAUUAUCUAUAUCAUUGAUAGCCAGUUCCCUUUACCGGGAGUCUUGCUUCUAAUUGUCUUUAUAGACAACUUGACAAC